rnacentral:lncRNA from 1 species
UAGAAGAAGAAGACUUCUCAAAGCUACCUUAUAUCGAUGCCAUAAUUAAAGAGACAUUUAGACUUCAUCCUUUAUGUGCAGUGCUUCCUCCUCGUUACUCCACUGAGGAUUGUAAUGUCGCUGGUUAUGACAUACCAAAAGGGACAACUGUUUAUGUAAACGCAUGGUCUUUAGGAAGAAAUCCAAAGUAUUGGGAUAGGGCAGAAGAGUUCAUUCCUGAGAGAUUCAUAGAAAAUAACAUAGACAUAAAAGGACAAAAUUUCGCAUUGUUGCCAUUUGGUUCAGGAAGAAGAAAGUGCCCGGGGUAUAGCCUUGGUAUGAAGGUUGUUCGAACAACAAUGGCUAACUUGAUGCAUGGAUUCAAUUGGAAAUUAGGAGGAGAUACGAAGCCAGAAGAUAUAAGCAUGGACGAGAUUUAUGGAUUGACUACACACCCAAAAGAACCGAUAUCUUUGAUCAUGGAACCAAGACUUUCACUCCAUCUUUAUUAGUUCUUCAAUUAUAUCAAUCUUAUUCUAUUUAAGUUAUAUUGCUUGCACUAAAAUAAAAUUUCACAAUUUGAUUAAAAUUGUGUUGCUUUCAUUUCUUGCUCCAUCCUAUAUUGUAUAAUGUAUUUUGAAAAAGACUCGAAUAAUUCUAUUUUUUUUCUUCUUUUCUUAUAUAGAAGAGUACUGGUAAAGACUUGCUAGCUUUUUGCCUGUUGGACUCAACCUAUAUGGCCUUUCAAUUAACUUAUAAUUACUUGUGGCACAAUUGUAAUGGUUGUGUUUGUGGUAAUUUUAAAUAAUUUAGUCAUUUAGAUGAAAUCAUAUGACAGGAGUUGAAGAUUUGUUUUCCGAGAAAAUCAAGUCGGAUCCUUGUGAAUGAAGUAAGUUUACAUGAGCUACAUCCUACCUAAAUUUGUUACAAAUUGCUUCUUGACUACUUGUAUUCAUGAGAAUAAGUUUUUGUUCUGUUGCUCUUUCAUGCAGGGCAAACCUACUUUCACUUUGUCAUUGAUAAAUGAUGUAGGUUUGAACAAUAUGUAAUUUAAUUUGAUGAAUAUGUAUAAUUGAUCAAACGAAGAACUGAUUUAUUAACACUCAUAAUUAACUCAUGUACAUUAUUUAUUUCAAGUUAGUUAGUUGGUUGUAUUUCCAUUUUAUAGUUAGUAUUGUAAUAGUUAGUUACAUAACAAACUAGUUAGUUAGUUAGUUAUUUUCUUUCCACUAGUUUGAUCCAUAUAGUCACAUGUAUAUAUACACUUCAUGAGUAAUGAAUGAAGGUAACAAAACACUUCACAAUUGAAUCACAAAGCCUUGCAUUGCAGUCUUCAUUUUUCCAGUUUCGUUUGGGGAAGUUUGUAGCAUCAUCAAUGGCUGCUCAUGCUGCACUUUGAAGAUCUUAACAUGGUAUCAGAGCACACGGUUAAUUGCUCUUUUCUUCUUCUUUUGGUUACUCGUUUUGAUUGAUUCUCAAUUGAUAACAAAGUUGGAAGUUACUGUGUUUGUUAUACUUUCUGUUUUUCUGAAAGUUCAUCUGCGAUCUGUUUCCUUUCUUUAUCGAGUAGUUCAUAAUAGUCAUUGUUGUAAUGGCCAUCGAAACUACUACAUCCACAUCUGCAUCUGAGGGAUCUGUCAUAUCUGGAAGUGAUGCCAAUGGUGUUCUGUAUGUGCAUCCUUCAGAUAAUCCAGGAAUGAUGCUUGUCCCUGUUCAAUUUGAUGGAACAGGAUAUAGGACUUGGAGAAGAGAUGUUAUGAGGGCAUUGUCAGUAAAAAACAAGUUAGGGUUCAUUGAUGGAAGUUGUGAGAAACCAAGCAGCAACAAUUCACCUCUGUUACGUCAAUGGCAGAGGUGUGAUGAUAUGGUGACAUCUUGGAUUCUGAACUCUUUAAUCAAAGAAGUUUCAGACAGUGUGGAGUAUGUAAGCAAUUCUGCUGAGUUGUGGAAGGAGUUGGAAGACAGGUAUGACCAAACCAAUGGAGCAAAGUUGUAUCAAAUUCAAAAGGAGAUCAAUGAUCUCACACAAGGAGUUUUGGACAUUACUGUAUAUUACACAAGGAUGAAGAAGUUAUGGGAAGAAUUGAAUACUUUGAAUGUGAAGAAUCACUGCAGUUGUGUCUGUGUGUGUGGUGCAAAGGAUAGUAUAUUCAAGGCUGAACAAGAUAGGCGCCUAAUUCAUUUUCUUAUGGUGUUAAAUGAAGUGUACACAGUGAUAAGAGGAAACAUUCUCAUGAUGAAUCCUCUUCCUUCUAUGGGACAGGCUUUCUCAUUGUUAAUCCAAGAGGAAAAACAAAGAGAAUUCAAACCUAUUGGUAGAAUGUCUACAGAUUCUGUAUCUUUGAAUGUUAAAGCUGUUGAUAACAAAGGACAUGGAGGAAGACCUUUUAGAACAAAUUUUCAAGGAAAUAGCUAUGGAAAUAGCUAUGGAAACUAUGGUGAUACUAACAGUAGUUCAGGAGGAAAUCACUAUCAAAGUAACAACACUAACAGGAAUGUCAUAGUGUGUGACUAUUGUAAAAGGGCUGGACACAUCAAGGAUAAAUGUUAUAAGUUGCAUGGAUAUCCCCAAAACAAUAACAACCAAAAUAAUAGAUCAGGAAGUUACAAUGGUGGCCAGAAUUUUAGACAACAAGGCUCAAGCUACAAAGGAAGGAGAGUGGUAGCAAAUGUACAUGGUUCUGUUGGUGAUGUGGUAUCUGCAAAUGGAGAAGAACAAUCACAAUCUCAAGGUGAUGUGUUAAAGAGUGUUAACUUUACGAAGGAACAAUAUGGACAGAUCAUGAAUCUGCUGCAGCAUUUCAAAAAUGAGAAUGUGGGAGAAGAUACUGCUGUCAAUAAUACUUCUGGUCUGGCUGCUGGAUCAAUGAACUUUGCAGGUAUUGUGGUUUGCUCUUCCUCUAUUGUUUUUGACAAUCUAUCAUGCAAAUGUUUUGAGUCAAGUGCUAACUUGUGGAUCAUUGAUUCAGGAGCAUCAAACCACAUAACUUUUAAUAAGAAUUCUCUAACCAAUAUCAAAACUUUGCCUACUCCUAUACUAGUUUCUCUUCCAAAUGGAUACAAAGUCAAAGUAACAGAGUUUGGAGAUGUACCAGUCACAUCUAAUAUUACUUUACAUCAAGUCUUAUAUGUGCCUUCUUUCAAGUACAAUCUAGCCUCAGUCCAUUCACUAACUAAUACAAUGAAAUGCAUAGUCAUGUUCACUAAUGCAUUGUGUCUAUUGCAGGCCCCUUUAGUGAAGAGGCCACAGGUUCUUGGUAAUUGAAAAGAUGGGCUUUACUUCUUAUGCACAAAAUGCUUGAAGACAUCUGAAAGAGUCAAUACAUGCCAAAUAUGUUGUUGUUUUCCAAAUAGUAGUCCUUUUUCUAGUUCCAUUAGAGGUGAAACAUGUAAUUCUUUUCCUGCUAAAUCCUAUUCUCCUGAUCAAUACAAAGUGUUAACUUCUAAUUCUGUUCCUUUCAAUUCUUUUAGUCAUGUUAUGGCUGAUCACAACUCUGGAGAUAAUGUAGACUUGUUAUGGCACAGUAGACUUGGCCAUGUACCUUUUGUUAAGAUGAAAAAUAUCAUUGGAUUACCAGUCAAUGGAUUACCAGUCAAUUUUUCUUCCAAACAACCUUUCUGCUGCAAUAUUUGUCCUAUGUCAAGACAACAAAGGCUACCUUUUAGUCAUAGCACAAGCCAAACCAAAUCUAUUUUUGAACUGCUACAUGUUGACUUAUGGGGACCCUAUCAUGUAUCCACUUAUGACAACUACAAGUAUUUCAUUACUUUGGUAGAUGAUUAUAGCAGAUCAACUUGGACACACCUCUUGAGUACUAAGAGCAAUGCUCUACAAGUUUUGAAAAAUUUUAUAGUCAUGAUAGAGAAUCAGUUUAGUACCACUCUUAAAAACAUUAGAACAGAUAAUGGGCUAGAAUUUAAUAAUAAUGAAACACAUCAGUUUCUUUUAUCCAAAGGAAUAGUUCAUCAGAAAACUUGUCCAUAUACACCUCAACAAAAUAGUGUAGUGGAGAGAAAACAUAAGUAUUUGUUGGAAACAGCUAGAGCUCUUUUGUUUCAAUCUAAACUACCUAUAAGAUACUGGGGAGAGUGUGUUCUAACAGCUACACAUAUUAUUAACAGACUACCAUCGAGUUAUUUGAGAAAUAAGUGUCCAUAUGAGGUAUUAUACAAUAAGAAACCAAGCUAUAGUCAGCUUAGAUCUUUUGGUUGUCUUUGUUACCCUACUGUGCCAAAGGUACUUAGAGAUAAGUUUGAGCCAAGGACUACUCCACAUGUUUUCUUGGGAUAUGUUUUUGGAACUAAAGGCUAUAAGGUAAUGAAUCUAGCUACAAAGAAGUUACAUAUCUCCAGGGAUGUAAUUUUCCAUGAACAUGUCUUUCCUUUUACUUUGUCAACUGAAAGUUCUUCUUUCCCUUCUGUUUUGAAGUCAUUUUCUUCUCCUGAUUAUACUGUUUCAGAUUCAUACAAGAAUUGUGUAAGUGAUUAUGACAAUAUGACUGAUACAACUCCUUCUCAUCUACCUACUCACAUUACUCAAAAUCAUGAUAUACCUUCCACUAGUCCUAUUACUUCUUCAACAUCUUCUCAACACAAUACAUCCACAAUAAUACAAAGAAGAUCACACAGGGAAAACAAAAUACCAUCACAUUUGAAAGACUAUGUUGUCAAUAUUCCAAAAUUGAAAUCAUUCAGUUCUAACACAUCCAACACAACCCUCAAUAACAAUUUGUCACUUACUGCAUUGUUUACCAAACACUAUCAUAUAUCUCCUGAAGUCAUUGCAUCUAAUAGUCAGUCACUUGUUGAAAAUAUUUGUCAUGAUAGUGAGCCAUCUUCAUAUGAGGAGGCAUCCCUAAAUCCUGCAUGGCAAAAAGCCAUGACACAAGAAUUUGAAGCAUUGUAUGCUAAUGAUACUUGGGACCUUGUUGCAUUACCUCCAAACAAACAAGCAGUUGGAUGUAGGUGGGUAUAUAAGGUAAAACACAAAGCAGAUGGGAGCAUAGAAAGAUUCAAGGCACGACUAGUUGUGAAAGGGUAUACACAGCAGGCUGGAAUUGACUACACUGAGACUUAUUCACCUGUGGUUAAGAUGACCACAGUGAGAACUUUGAUAGCUUGUGCAGUAAAGAAAGGUUGGAACAUGUUUCAACUUGAUGUAAAUAAUGCAUUCCUUCAUGGAGAUCUUCAUGAAGAGGUUUAUAUGAAACUACCCCCAGGACUUGAAGUACUUAAUUCAGGGCUGGUGUGUAAAUUGAAGAAGUCCCUUUAUGGUCUUAAACAAGCAAGUAGACAGUGGUACUCUAAGCUAACUGAAGCAUUGUCAUCCAGAGGAUACUCACAUUCACAAUUUGAUCACUCAUUAUUUUACAGAAAGGAAGGUUCCUUGGCUGUGUUUGUUGCAGUAUAUGUGGAUGAUGUUAUUUUAACAGGCACAGACACAACUGAGAUUGCACAUUUGAAGGCAUAUCUGGAUAACACUUUUAAAAUCAAAGAUCUUGGAAGGCUUCACUAUUUUCUAGGCUUGGAGAUUCUUGAUACAGCAGAUGUGGUACUUAUUUCUCAGAGGAAGUUUGUUUUAGACUUGCUAAAAGAGUAUGAUUGUUUCAAUUAUACACCUUUGUCCUCUCCUUUAGAUCCUACUGUUAAAUUGAAAGCCAAGGAAGGAACCCCUUUGUCUGAUCCUACUUUCUAUAGAAAGUUGAUAGGCAAGCUGAACUUCUUAACUAAUACGAGAUUAGACAUAGCUUUUAGUGUUCAACACUUAAGCCAAUUCAUGCAGGAUCCACGAGCUCCACAUUUACAAGCAGCCUAUCAUCUGCUUAGAUAUCUCAAACAGGAUACUACCUUAGGAGUUCAGUUGUCCAAGGAUCCUGACUGCACAGUCCAAGCCUUUUGUGAUUCAGAUUGGGCAUCAUGUCCAGAUUCGAGGAGGUCAGUCAGUGGCUAUUUAGUACUACUUGGGAACAGCCCUAUUAGUUGGAAGUCUAAGAAACAAGAGACAGUCUCCUUGUCAUCAGCAAAAGCAGAGUAUAGAUCACUCAGAAAAGUUGUAGGAGAACUGACUUGGAUCCAUAGAUUGCUUACUGAGUUAACUGUCUCUAUUUCCUCUCCUAUUAGUGUUCAUUGUGAUAGUCAAUCUGCCAUUCAUAUUGCUCGCAAUCCUGUGUUUCAUGAGAGAACUAAACACAUUGAGGUGGAUUGUCAUUUCGUACGUGAUAAGCUUCAGGAGGGGUUAAUUUCUUUGCAUCAUGUAUCGACUUCAAAUCAGCUUGCAGACAUUCUUACCAAGGCCCUCACUGGCAUCAAACACUCAGCCAUCUUACACAAGUUGGCUGUGAAAUCAUCACUUCCAACUUGAGGAGGGGUAUUAACACUCAUAAUUAACUCAUGUACAUUACUUAUUUCAAGUUAGUUAGUUGGUUGUAUUUCCAUUUUAUAGUUAGUAUUGUAAUAGUUAGUUACAUAACAAACUAGUUAGUUAGUUAGUUAUUUUCUUUCCACUAGUUUGAUCCAUAUAGUCACAUGUAUAUAUACACUUCAUGAGUAAUGAAUGAAGGUAACAAAACACUUCACAAUUGAAUCACAAAGCCUUGCAUUGCAGUCUUCAUUUUUCCAGUUUCGUUUGGGGAAGUUUGUAGCUUCAUCAAUGGCUGCUCAUGCUGCACUUUGAAGAUCUUAACAUGAUUGAUUUUAUAUUGAAAAAUUGAUUUCUAUUGUUCAUGAACAUUUAUCUCUCGAACUCAAGAAGCAUGUGCAGAUAUUUGUGUUGGGUUGUGCGCAGCACAAGCAACUCCAUUUAAUGUGUUGGAUGCAUUUUUGAAAAUUUUUGCAUAUGUGAGGGAGUAGGUGUAUGGUUAUUGUAACAAGAAGUAGAUUUGGGUAGAUGUUAACAACAUCGGAAAACUAACGAAAUCUUCUUUUGACAAAUUGCUCCAAUCCAAACUUAGAAUUACUAGGAAUAAAAGAUAAUGUGAAGAAAAGCUCUAUCAAUGAGCUUUAAGAAGAUGAAGAAGACGAGAGAAGAGAUGAGAGAAUGAUGAAGAAAAAAGCUUUGUAUAUUUCUGUGUGUAUCUGUACAUAUGAGCCCUCUUACUUAUAUAUACAAUUACAUUUAUGUAUUAAAGAAACUACCUUAACUAACCUGUAUUUAACCAACUAAUUAAUUACCUAACUAACUAACUAACAAACUGAAAUAUUAAAAGAAUACAUGUUUAGUUUAUAAGCUAUCUUAACACUCCCCCUCAAGCUAAGAAUUGGAAAAUACAUUUUUCAUUCCUAGCUUGUUAAUCAGUUCUUCAUGUUGAGGUUUGCACAGCCCUUUGGUGAGUAUAUCAGCUUGUUGAUCUCUUGUUCCUAAGUGUUGUGUCUGAAUAAGCCCUUCAAGUAUCUUCUCUCUUACAAAAUGACAAUCUAUGUCAAAAUGUUUAGUUCUUUCAUGAAAAAUUGGAUGUGCUGCUAUUUGGAUAGCAGCUUUGUUAUCACAAAAUACCUUUACUGGCACCUUUAUUUCCAUUCCUAACUCACUGAAUAAGCCUUUCAACCACACUAUUUCAGCAACUGUAGUAGCCAUACUUCUGAAUUCUGCUUCUGCAGAGCUCCUAGAUACUGUGUUUUGUUUCUUUGACUUCCAGGAUACCAGUGCUCCUCCUAGUUUAAUCAUAUAGCCUGUAACUGAUCUUCUUGUUUCUACACAAGCUCCCCAGUCUGAGUCACAAUAGGCUACCAUUUCAUUGUCUUUGUUACUUGGCAUAAACAAUCCAAGACCUGCAGUUCCUUUUAUAUAUUUAACUACUCUUAGUGCUGCUUCCAUAUGAGAUGACUUUGGUGAGUGCAUAUAUUGACUGAGUACUUGUACUACAAAGGCUAUAUCAGGCCUAGUCAUAGUUAAGUAUAAUAACUUCCCUAUCAGCCUUUGAUAUUUUCCAAAGUCAUCAAGAAGUGAGUCUUCUGCAUUAGCAUUUUUUCCAAUGAAUUCAUCAAACACAGUGGAAGUUAGCUUGUGAUUGAACUCCAAGGGUGUAGAAGAAGGUUUACAACCUGCUAAUCCCAACUCAGACACAAGUCCUAAAGCAUACUUCCUUUGAUUCAUUAGUAUACCUUCUUUAGACCUGGAGAAUUCAAUUCCAAGAAAAUAUUUAAGCUCACCUAGAUCUUUCAUUCUAAACCUUUGUUGUAACUCCUCUCUUAUUUGUUGUAUAUAAUGCAAACUGCUCCCAGUAACCAAGAGAUCAUCAACAUAUACCAAGAUAACUAGAAGUUCUUUACCUAUGUUCUUAGUAAAUAGUGAAUAAUCAUAAUGUGACUGUGAAAAUCCCAUAUCAACUAAAGCCUCUGUUAGCUUUAAGUUCCACUGUCUUGGUGCCUGCUUCAGUCCAUACAAGGACUUAUGAAGCUUGCAAACCAUGCUUUUCUCCCCCUGGUUUGCAAAACCUUCAGGAAUCUGCAUAUACACUUCUUCAGGAAGAUCUCCUUGAAGAAAAGCAUUGUGUACAUCCAUUUGAAAUAUAAACCAUCCAUAUGAAGCAGCUAAAGCCACUACUGAUCUUACUGUAACCAUUUUUGCUACUGGUGAGUAUGUCUCAGUAUAGUCUAAGCCUUCCUUUUGAUUGUAUCCUUUUGCCACUAACCUGGCUUUAUAUCUCUCAACUUCUCCAGAUGCUUUAUACUUAACUUUAAACACCCACUUACAGCCAAUAGGAACUUUUGUUGGAGGUAGAGGAACAAUAGACCAAGUAUUGUUGGCUUCUAGAGCAUUAAUCUCAUCUCUCAUAGCAUUCACCCAAUGAGUAUCUUGACAUGCCUCUUUAUAUGUAUGAGGUUCAGAGAUAGUAGAGUAUGUAGCAAGUGAUUCUCUAUAUGUAGGAGCAAGUUUGGAAUAAGUAACAUAUUGUGACAUAGGAUAUAGACAUGCAUUUUGUGCAUUUUGAGUCACAUAUGAGUCCAACCAAAUAGGUGGCUUAGAUUGUCUAGAAGAUCUUCUUAGAGGAACUAAUGGUGCUGUAGUAUUAGAAGAAGUCUGAGGCUGUAUAGAAAUUGUAGGAUUAAAACCUUGAAUAGAGGCAUUAUCAGAAGUUGACUCAAUAUAUGAACUAUCAUGAAGAUCCAGAACAGGAAAUAAGUGGUCUGGAAAGGAUUUAAGAUUCUUGAAAGGAAAUAUGUCUUCUUUAAACACAGAUUCUCUGCUUAUAAAGAAGGAUUUGCAAGUCAAAUCAUACAAGAUAUAACCUUUCUUGUUCAUUGAGUACCCCAUAUGCACAGCUGGAACAACUCUAGGUGCAAAUUUGUCUAGAAUCUUAGGAUCUGUAGCAUAGCAUAGACUCCCAAAUACUCUAAGAUGCUGAAGACUAGGAACUUGGCCAAACAAUUUUUCAAAAGCACUCUGUCCUUGUAACAACACAGUAGGUAAUCUAUUUAGUAUGUACACAGCAGUAGUAACACAAAGUCCCCAAAACUGUAAAGGUACACCAGCCUGAAACCUUAGUGCUCUUGCCAUGUUUAGAAUAGACCUAUGUUUUCUCUCAACUACUCCAUUCUGUUGAGGAGUAUACACACAUGAACUCUGAUGUACAAUGCCAUUAGCCUUGAAUAGAUCAUCCAUUUGAUUAUUAACAAACUCUGUUCCAUUGUCUGUUCUUAUACACUUAAUGCCUACACCAAACUGAUUUCUUACCAGGUUUACAAAGUCUUUUAACACUACCACAGUGUCUGACUUAGUGUGUAAUAGAAAGAUCCAAGUAUACCUGGACAUAUCAUCCACUAGUGUUAAAAAAUAUCUUUUUCCAUCAUGAUUAGGCACUUUGUAAGGUCCCCAUACAUCACCAUGUAUAAUGUCAAAAACUGAAACUGAAUGAGAAAGACUAGUAGUAAAAGGCAGUCUUGAUUGCUUAGCAAUUGGACAUAUAGAACAAUGAUGCUCAUGUACAGAUACAAUGUUCAAUUCCUUUAUUCUACUUAAUACUUUGAGAGGAGCAUGUCCAAGUCUUUUAUGCCAUAGACUACUUAAAGAAUCAGCAGUAGAACUAAAACUAAUAGGCCUAAUUCUUUUAUAUGCAGCUUCCUUUGCACAUUCUCCAGAAGAUACUUGAUCAUUUGAAGGCUUUGUUGUGACAGGAGUAUUGAGGAUAUACAAUCCUUGAUUCUCUUUACCAAUCCCCAGGACCCUCCCAUUGAAGAGAUCCUGAAAAAUACAAAAAUCAGGAAAAAAUACUACUGCACACUUCAACAGUUUAGUUAGUUGUGACACUGAUAAAAGAUUAUACUUGAAUUCUGGAACAAAUAACACAUCCUUUACUACUUUGUCCUUAAGAACCAAAGAUUCACCAAUGUGACUAAUAGACACCAAAUCACCAGUAGGUAGAUUAACUCUCAUACCACCCUGAACAUCAAGAUUUGUUGGCUGACUCAUUAAACCAAAGUUGUGAACCAUAUGAUUAGAGGCACCAGUAUCUAUAAUCCAGUUAGUAUGUGAGAUAUCAAACAUUAGAGCUGUAAAAUUACCUGAUGUUCCAGAUACACCUGCAGUAGCUACAUUGGCCAUUGUAUCCACUUCCUUACUCUUCCCUUUUCUCAGCAUCUGCAAGAUCUCAUAAUAUUGUUCUUGAGUAAACAUUGAUACACCUUGUCCCAAAGAAGUAUCAUUAGAUGACUCAUUUGUUCUAGUAUUAGAACUUGAAGUUGAGUCAAUUAUUCCAGACUCAUUUCCAGUAGAAGCAUUAUUUGCAUAAGAAGAUACUCCUCCUUUCUUCUUUGGAUAACCAUGAAGCUUAUAACAGGUUUCUUUUGUAUGACCUUUAAAAUGACAAAAUUCACAAUAGAGCUGAGACUUUCCUGUAGUGUAGCUAGUUCUAGCAUCUCCAUAUCCCUUAUUUCUGUAUCCACUAUUUUGGAAGUUAGAAACACCUCUUCCUGUUCCUGAGGAAGUUGUAUUAUUGUUAUAGUAUCCACCAUUCCCUGAACUAGAAGAACUAAGAGGCAUUCUAUUACUCAUCAAUGCUGUUUCAGACACAGCUUCAGCAGACGAGAAUGUAUUUCCUGUACCAUGAACUCUUUGACUCUCAACACUAACAAUCAUAGCAUAAGCCUGAUUUACACUUGGAACUGGAAUCUGCAUAAGAACUUGGCUUCUUGCAUGAGCAUAAGACUCAUUAAGUCCCAUCAGAAAUUGCCACAGCUUUUGAAAUUGCAAAUGCUCUAUGUAUUGUUUAGACUCAGGACAAGCACAUGAAGGACAGGGAAUCAAAGUUUCAGCCUCAUCCCACAACUCUCUUAGUCUCGAAAAAUAGAUUGACACAGAAGAAGUUCCUUGUGACAUAGUGACUAAUUCCUUGUGUAGAUAAAAGGCCCUAGAUGCAUUUACUUUAUCAAAUCUUUCACGUAGAUCUUCCCACACUGAAUGAGCAUCAGAUCCAUAGAUUACAGUACUAAUCAGACUUUUAGACACUGUAUUCAUAAUCCACCCAAGAACAAUUGCAUUGCAUCUAUCCCAUACAUCAUGUAAGCAUUCAGAAUACAUUUCCUUUUUACAUGUUCCAAGUAGAAAUCCUAACUUGUUUUUUCCAAGUAACACAAGUUUUAAAGAUUUACUCCACAAAGAAUAGUUUUCAGAACCCACUAAUUGAAUUGAAAUUAGAACAGAACCUUGAGUAUCUGAAGGAUGUAUAAAGAGAGGGUGAUUGUGAUCGAUUUUGGCUGUGUUCGUAACUGUUUGUUGUUGAACUUCACUCGAAGCUCCAUCUCCAGUUGAAGGCAUGAUUGAUCGAGUUUAACAGCUCCCAAUUUCUUGAUUUAGACAGACAAUUGAUCUUCAAUUCAAGAUUCUUUAGACUCUUGCCUUCAGAUUAUGAAGAGCUUAACAGAGAGUUUCAAAUUCUCCUGAGCUCUGAUACCAUGUGAAGAAAAGCUCUAUCAAUGAGCUUUAAGAAGAUGAAGAAGACGAGAGAAGAGAUGAGAGAAUGAUGAAGAAAAAAGCUUUGUAUAUUUCUGUGUGUAUCUGUACAUAUGAGCCCUCUUACUUAUAUAUACAAUUACAUUUAUGUAUUAAAGAAACUACCUUAACUAACCUGUAUUUAACCAACUAAUUAAUUACCUAACUAACUAACUAACAAACUGAAAUAUUAAAAGAAUACAUGUUUAGUUUAUAAGCUAUCUUAACAGAUAAUUUUUCACAAACUAAAUGUUCUUUUGUUGGAUGUCUCGAAGACAAUGAUUUUUUAUUUUGUAUUUUUUAGCUUCUUGUUUUCGUUUUUCUCUGAGGAGUGCAAAAACACUUAUUUAAAAAGGAGCUUAUUUACGGUGGAGCAGUUAGUCCGUAACUAUUUCCAUCCCUUUUUAAAAUUGUUCUUAUCUUGUUUUUUCAGAAAGUAACUUUGGAUCAAGUCGGGUGGUCCAUAUGGUGAUCCACGAUUCAAAACCUACAUUUUGCAUUUUGCAUACGGUGGAACAGACCCAAGCGAAUCCAACUCCAAUUAAACAUAUAUAUUUAUACGACUAAUAGUUGGUGAGACCUAUGGGUAUGAAGAACUUAUAUAUAUCUUUAAGGUUUUAUAAGUCCCAUACAAAAAUUCACUAUUUAUAUGACUAUACUAAUACUCACAAUAUCCAAACAUUAUUAACUAUUUAAUAGUUAUUUAUUCAAUCCCUCAUCCUCUUAUAGAGGUGAUUGAGUAUGUGUUUAACUUUGUAUACACAAUUACACUCAAUACGUAUGAAGUUAGUGUAAUACUCAAGUUGUGUAUACAAAUUACAUUAUUAUUAAAUUAAUCGUCUUUUUUUUUUUGAAUCUAUCUGUUCUAGUUCAAUUGAUCAUUUUUUUUAUACAUGCUCUGCACUGUCGAAUCAUAAUGGCUAUUAGUGACAUGCUAAAAUAGCAAAAUUGAUUGAAACUUCAAGAAACAGUAAAAGGUCGAAGGUUAUUCCAAUGAUAAGUUAUUUUAAUUCGUUGGGGUCUCACACAAUGAAGAAGCAGGAAACCAUUCUUUCAUUAACCCAUUGAUUGCUUAACAUAUAGGGUAUAACACAUGUUACAAUGCAUUAACCUUAUACUACACAUGUGUCUCAUUCUUUUGAUUAUCCAACAUCGUACUGAUAAUGACUUGAACACCUCUUGAUGUUUAACCCGAGUUUUCUUUUUUUAAUGAUCCUCAGUAUCAUCUUCCAAGAGAGGCUCUUGUUUGGCUAAUGAAAUAAUUCAUUACAUGAUAGUGAAAAUCAUUUUUUCACAUUUUCCGACAUAAGAGGUGAUUACUCAUGUUAGAGAGUCGUUCUCGUAAUUUGUCUGACACUCUUUAUUUUUAAAAUUAUUAUCACGUACAUAUGAGAUAUGGAUAUAAAUUCAAAAUAGACAUAUAUUGACAAGAAUUUUGACUCUACCAAGAAAGAAAAAGAGAACGAAUUACGAUAUCCGUUAGAAAUUUUCAUUUGAAGGAUUUGAUAUUUGUUAUCAACCUUGUCUGAUAUAAUGGAUGAUUAUCGUUAGUUUCUUAUUAGAUGUUUAUUUUCGAGAUAAAUAAAUAGUAAUGUAUUAUGCCAUUUUAUUGAUCACGAUUUUCACUUUCAAAUUAAUACAAAAUGUACCUGAUACAUUCUAAUUAAUAUUCUUUGCUACAUGCAUCAGAUACACAUUAUAGCCUGAUACGUUUCAUACAAAUCAUUACCCAUUCGUGUAUACUGAUACAUUUAUACAAAAAUAAUACAUCACAUGUAUCUCAUACUUAUUAAUGAACACAUGAUAAUGUACAAAUAAAAAACAAAUACAUUACACGCUACAACAUAAAACAUUUGGCCAUGAUACAUUCAUAAAAAAAAAGGGAAAAAGUUAGCAUUACAACUGAUAAUUCACUAAAUUUUUUAGAAGUGACAGUGUAUCAUGACUUCUGUAUCAAAAAUAAAAAAAUCUAAUACACAUCACAAAACAACUAAUUUUGUACUUUUUUUAACACGUCUCUUUAUCCUAAAAUUGAAAUUGUGCUCUAUUUUAUAUUUCGUUAUUACAAGAACGAGUGUUGUUUUAUCCUUAUAGAAUUAUAUCUCCUUCAUCUCUAUAUUUGUUUGAAUCGAUUAUGUAAUUUGUUACUUCUAAUUUCGAUAUAUAAUAUGAAUCACCUACUUCUUACUCAAUCAUGCAUGCACAACAAGAUCUAGUGCAACCUUUUCUGAACCUUAGACACAAAUAAUUUCACCGGGUGCAACAUCAAAGUAAUUUAUCGCUCCGGUCAUCAUGUUCCUAGUACAGUUUUACUCCCAUGUCAUUUUUAAUUUUCAUUGAAGGUGAUUUACCUUCUACGAUGUAUCAAGAUUUUUCCUCAACUCAUUGAAUUCUAAUUUAGAUGCAAUGGUGAAUUUGAGAUUCACAUAACAACUAUUCAAUUACUUUUGUAUCGUUCAUAACUCGCCUUGCUUUAUCAACUUCCUGAAUGUCUCAACAAAAUAUAUAUAUUCAUCACGUAUCAGCUAAUGAUUUCAACGUUUUAAAUUUUGUUACGAUUUGGCAGAGAUUAGAGAGCAUAAAAUUGAAAUUUGAAAUGUAUGAAAAUGAUACAAUUCGAGAGAGAUCAACAUUAACUUGAUUUUACGUGAUUUAUGAAUUUGAUAUUUAAUUUUAUGUUUUGUUUUCUUUUUAAUCUCAACAGACAAGUUUUUUAAUGUAUCAACUGCUAUGUAUCGGAUGACACAAAUUUGAAUGAUUUUUUGUAAAUUCAAAAAGAUAGCGAUAAGAUAUAGUUUGCUUCAUACACGAUUCAUUUUCUUGUAUUUUUACUUAUUAUUAUUAUCAGGGAAAAUUUCUUAUAUGGCAAACUGAUGCUAUGAAAUUACAUUUCAUGGGUAUAGUUUACAUAAUUACAUUCCAUGGGUAUAGUUUAGUUUGUUAGGUGACUCUAAAUUUGCAUAAAACGUUUUUUUUAAUUAAAUUUAUACAAAAAAAUUAUUUUUCGAUAAAUGAUAACAGUAGCACAAAAGAUGCUAACAAUAAAUUUACAUAAUCCCAUGAUUUAAGCAAAACAUUUAAAAUCAAAUAUUUCCCCCCAAAAAGAAUUCUAAAGCUAUAGAAAGACAAUACCAGUUCAAAAUUAAAUAUUUUUCUAAUUUUUUUUAGAUAAAUCUAUGAAACACACACAAAAAUAUAUUUAUAUAUAAAUUGAUUAUAUUGUAUAUAUUUGCGAAAUUGUAUAUAAUUUUUAUAUAAUAUUUGUGUGAAAUUGAUUUUGUGUUUUAAACUGUAUAUGACCAUCAUAUAUUCUUUUAAUUUUUUUGGGUAAUCUUUUUGUAUACAAUAUUUUAUUAUGUUCCUAUUUUUUCUUUUUGUAUAAUUCUGGAAAUUUGUAUAAUGUACAAUAAUCUUGAUAUAUAUAUAUAUAUAUAUAUAUAUAUAUAUUAUAGUUAUAUAUGUGCAUCUGUGAUUAAAUGUAUUAAUGAUUAAACUGAUUGUAUAUUAUAUUCAUUUGUUAAUUGUAUAUAUAGUAAGCUUGAAAUAUGUUUCUAUAUUUGAGGGUGUAACGUUUAUAUAUACAAUAUUUUAUUAUGUUCAUAAUUUUUUGUAUAUAUCGACGAAUUUGUAUAAUGUAUUAUAAUAUUAAAGAGUGAUUUACAAAUUUCUUUAUACAAAAUUAAAUAAUUGUAUACAAAUAGCUAUUGCCUCAUAAGACUUUGUAUAUGUUACCUUAAUAUACACCCACUAUAUAUCUAACUUUAGUAAUUGGUAUACAGCUAAUAGAAUAUACAAUUAAGAACUGUUUCAUAAUACUUUGUAUACAUUAACUUAAUAUAUAAAUCACUAUAUACAUAACUUUGUAAUUUGUAUAUAAAUUACACUACCUGAUAUUUCCGAUAUUCUUCAGAUUUGUCCAGUUCUGAUGAGGCAGAUUCAAUUGAAUGACUUUAUGAAUUGUCAUUGGGUCAUUUUUUCUUUUCAUGGAUCUCAAUUCUUCAAUAGAUUGUUCAACUUAAACUUGUUUAUGUUUUGCCAUAGACCCUACAUUAACCCAGAAUUAUGAGUUAACCCAAUUGAAACGAAAGUGGAUUAUCAACAACAUUGACAUGCAAUGACAUACCUCUCGUAAUCCUCAUACAUGGACAGAAAUCAUCUAUUAUGAUUUUGAAAGAUUUGUAAAUUAAUAAGUAAUAAAGAUUUUUUAAAAAAAUAUGAAAAAACUAAUAAUCAUACUACAUAUACAUUUGUUAUAGAAGGAACCAAGAAAAAAUAUUGAAAGCCAUGAAUUUAGCAGUUACCUACGAAAAGUGGAAGAACAUUGGAGGGAGAAGGUCAAAAUUUUCCCAAUGGAAAUUCAAAUCAGAAGAGAAGAGUAAUUUUAGGAAAAGAUAUGGAAUGAAAAUAUGAGAGAUAAAUUUGAUUUUGAAUAAAAUUAUAUAAAGAUCUUUGGAUGACUAUUUUUUAUUUUGUAUACAAAUAGAUAGUGGGUCCCAUUAAUUAUGGCAAAAAAAAUGAAACUAUAUUUACUGACUGUAAAUAAAUUAAACUAUACCCUUAUUAACUAAUUACAUAGGGAUGUUUGUCAUCCCACGUAAUUAUCCCUUAUUAUUAUUAUUUCUUAUUUAGCCCAUGGGUUGGCCCAACUCAUAUUGCUCAAGCCCUACGGACUAGGCUAGGCCCGUUGGGCCAGCCUGGUCUCACCCGAAAUUUAAUAGGGCUGGAAUAAGAUUUUUGGAGCUAAUUUAAGGAAAGAACUUUUCAGCCCGGCCUGAAUAAGCCUUUGGUUUGUGGGCUUGAGAAAUAUCGGUAGGGCCGGCUCGUGGGCCAGUACAAAUUUAUUAAAAAUAUAAUAUAAUAUUAAAAUUAAAAAUUAAAGAGAGUCCAAACUCAAAAAAAUUAAGUUAUAUUUCUAUUUAGAUAUUUGUACUUUUCCUUGAAAAAAACUUGAUAAAUAUUUUAUAAAGAUAAUUUUAUUUGUAGAUUUGAUUAACAAAUAGUAACAUUAACAUCAUGUAAUAUUGUUUUGUCGAUAUUUAUGAUAAUAUUUUAAAAUUUUAAUAAUAUAUAAAACUUAUUUUUUUGAAAAGUAGAUUGACCCAACAAGCGUGUAGCCCACAUACUUGUGGGUUGGCCAACCGUUUUCUGGUCCACCAAAAAUGGAAUAACCCAACCUAACCCGUAAGAUAUCAAAUCCUAUAUGGGUUAGCCCGGAUGGGAUGAGCUAGCCCAUAUUAAUAGCUCUACUUGUAGGUUAUUCAGGCAGUCAUUCGUGAGUGCAACACACACCUUUUUGUUGUUUCGGAGCUGUUUAUUUGGGCAGAGCGUACUAAACCCACUACGUAGAUAAGAGCGAUCCAACCCAAUAAACCUAGCUCAUAUUAACGACUCUAUAUAUAAGGUAAUCAUACUAUAUUUUAAGUAUAUUUAUUAAUUUGAAGUCAUUUUUUUUAUUGAAAACCGAAUCUUUACAUAAGUGGCUUUGAUCAGGAUUCCUCUUAUAUACGACAUGGUUAAUUUUGGUUUGAAGACUAACAAGUAAGCUUCCCCAGCCAAUAUACAAAUAAAACUCUUAGAUUAUAUUUUUACAAAAAUGUUUAAAAUCUUGACAUACAAGUGUAAUACGGUAUAAACUAAAUCUUAACAAAAUCAAAUAAUUAACUCAAAAUAUACGCUAUUAAUUAAAUAAACAGGAUUAUAAACUAAUUAACUCAUGAAAAAAUUGUAAUGGAUGUUUGAUGUGUGGUUUCUUCUUUAUGGGGUGAUUAAUCUUGGCGAUAAUACCUUGAGCUUAAUUGGUUGUACUUGCAAGGAUAUGUAAAACGAAUGAAGGUGUUAGGAAAGAAUAUGGUUGAUGACCUAAUCUUGAAAUUAAGCUUACUAUAGAUAAACUUCAAAAUCGAAUCAACCAAUAAACAUCCUUAUCGAUCACCAAAUCUUAUCAUUAAAACGUGAUUUAAGCUAUGUAAAUAUUUUGACUAGAAAACAAAAUUGAGUACUUUUUUCCCCUAAAAUAUUAGAUUAAUAACAUCUUCCUCCUAACCUUAUCGUUCUUAUUAGUUACAGAUGAAUCCAAAAUAGUACUUGUUAAAUUUCGAGAAAACUACUAAUAAUAUUAAUUAGAGGAAUCGGAAACAAUAAAUAGAACUACCAACUUUUGAGUUACACAAGUCAUGUGCUAUCUAAGUUAGUCCAUAUUUUUAUGCCUAAUCUUUUAAUUAGUUAUCAUUUAGCGGUAUUAAUGCCUAAUCUUGGAAAAAGAAGGGCCUAAUUCAUCGGUGGCCAUCAAAAGUUGGCAUAAAUUUUCACUUGGACAUCUUAACUAGACUUUGUUCAUUCUAGACAUCUCGUGUCAUGAUCCGUUAUGUCAGUUUGACACUUUUUGCUAACAUGACAUAAUAAGUGAGAUGCACUGGAAAAUCUUAUAAUUCAUUUUUAUUUUAUUUUUUCCUUUUUUUAAUCACCAUCUCCCAAAACUUAAACUCCUUCCGUGGAGAAGUAGAUUUGAUGAUGUUAAUUAAUUAGUUAAAACAAUCAAAAUUAUAGUAUAUCAAGCUAUAAUUAAUUUAAUUUAUGAAAAAACAUAGAAAUAGUAGAGAAAAACAAUUGAGAAAGAUUAGACAAGAGAGUAUUGCAUCUUAAGUGAAGAAUUAGUCAUAAACUUGAAAGAAAAGAUUUCACUGAAAAAAAGAUUUUGAUAGGAGAGAGGAGGGAGUUCGGUGAUGGGGCUGAUGGGGAAAGAUAGUUUGGAUGUGGGAGGGGUUUGGGAAUCGGGUGGUGGGAAAGGGGUUGAGAAUUGGGGGUGGGGUGCGGGUGGGGGAGAAAAUAAUAUAUGAUAGGUUGUCUUUAUUUAAAAAAAUAUUUAGACUUUAAAAAUGACAUAUGUCAUUGAGUGAUCGAUCAUUUUUUUCUAUACAAAAUUCAUUAUAUAAGAAUUAUUUUUGACAUAUAUGUCACAUGUCUUUAAUUAAUUCAUCAAUUUGACAUGUCAUCAGUGAGUGAGCUACACACCUUACACAUUUAGCUAAUUGUCAAAAAAGUGUUUAAAAAGAUAUAACGGCGCAUGACAAGAGGUGCCUAAAAUGAACAAAGUCUAAUUAAAGUGUGUAAGUAAAAAGUUGUGCCAAUUUUAGAUGACCACUGAUGGGUUAGACCAAUUUUAAAACUUGUGAACCCAUGAUAAAAUUGAUUGACAUUUCAAUGAUAAUAAAAUUGAUUAACGACUCAAUGAUAAGAAAAUAGAAAGAAAAUUUAGAAGCUUUGACUUCAACUCAUAAUAUUAACUGUCUCUGAAUUUUGUAUUUGCUAUAUAUGAGAGUUUGAUUUGUAAAAAAUAACUUUAUAAAUUUGCAAGAAAAUAAUUAUUACAUAAUUGAUCAGAUGACACACCACUUAUUUUGAAAUAGCAUAUAAAAUUAAAAGUACCACUUAAUAUGGACCAAACCACCAAGGUAUUAAAUAGUGGCCAUAUAAAUAUUUGUGAAGCAUUCUUGAAUUAUUACAUCUAUUCAACUUCAGUCACUAAAUUGUCAAAGAUGGAAAUCCCUUGGGUUUUCCUAGUGUUUGGCUCAUGGCUAUUUGCAUUAGCUUUGUCAUAAAAAUAUUGAACCAUCCCAAGAGGAAACUACCACCAGGUCCAAAGCCAUGGCCAAUUAUUGGCAAUUUGAACCACCUUAGUUCAUUCCCACAUAAAUCAUUGCACCAUCUUUCACAAAAAUAUGGAGAUCUAAUGCUACUAAAGUUUGGUUCGAAGCCUGUUUUGAUAGUAUCAUCUCCAGAAAUGGCUGAAGAGAUAUUAAAAACACAUGAUAUGAUCUUUGCUUCUCGCCCUCCAUUAGCUGCCAUUAAGUACUUUAGCUAUAACUAUUCAGACAUGACAUGGGCAUCUUAUGGUGCACACUGGCGUCAAGGUAGAAAAAUAUCACUAACCGAACUACUCAAUCCUAGAACACUCAAUUCAUUAGAGGAUAUUCGCGUUGAGGAAAGAAAAACUUUGAUUUCUCGUCUUUUUAAUCUCUCGGGAAAACCAAUCUUGCUUAAAGAUCAUUUAACUCUAUUUACUCUUCGCACUAUAAAUAGGUCAAUUAUGAGUAAAACAUAUUGUAGUGAUCAGUCAAACUCAGAUACUUCAAUAAUAACUCAUGAAAGAUUGCAAUGGAUGUUGGAUGAGUGGUUUCUUCUAGGUGGGGUGAUUAAUAUUGGGGAUUGGAUACCUUGGCUUAAUUGGUUGGACUUGCAAGGAUACAUAAAACGAACGAAGGCAUUAGGAAAGAACAUGACAGAAUUUUAUGAAUAUGUACUUGAAGAUCACAAGGCAAAGAGGCAAACAGAGGAGAAUUAUAUUCCAAAGGAUAUGGUUGAUGCUAUGUUACAACUUGCCGAUGAUCCUAAUCUUGAAAUUAAGCUUACAACAGAUAGUAUCAUGGGAUUAAUACAUGUAAGUUUACUUAAUUUCUCUUAAAAAAAACUAGAAUAAUAUAAGAUAGACCAUUUACUUUAUAUCAAUGUCAGGAUUUGGUAGGUGGCGGAACAGAUACUGCAGCAACAAUGAUAGAGUGGGCAUUUCAAGAACUUUUGAGGAGUCCAAACAUCAUGGAGAAGGCACAGCAAGAACUUGACAGAGCCAUUGGAAGAGAACGAUGGGUAGAAGAAGAGGACUUCUCUAAGUUACCUUACAUAGAUGCCAUAAUCAAAGAGUCAUUUAGACUUCAUCCUUUAUGUGCAAUGCUUCCUCCUCGUUACUCUACUGAGGAUUGUAAUGUCGCUGGUUAUGACAUACCAAAAGGGACAACUGUUUAUGUAAACGCAUGGUCUUUAGGAAGAAAUCCAAAGUAUUGGGACAGGCCAGA